GUCUGAGCACUGCACAUCCAUGUUCAGAGGAAUAGGAGAAGCAUGUGAUUUGCACCUAUGGUGUUUGAACUGCUUACCCGAGAGGGUCAUAAUGUAUGGUGUAUCUUGGUGAUUUGUGAGCAGUGUUGGCCUGAGCAACCAUUGUAUCAACACUUAAAGCAGCGUGAGGACUGCUCUAAAUUACUCUUUUAAGACCCCUCUGCUUUGUCUGGAGGAUAGCAAAGGGGAUCAGAGCAAUUGGAGACAAAGCCUGUCAUAUCCCCUUUAGCCACUCACUACUCCAAGAAAGCAUCAUCCAGAGCGUACUGGAAAUUACAGCAGCUCAGGACCCCUUCUACAACAGCCGUAUCCUUACCAAGUUGAAGAGUGUUACCCCAAAAGGAUGGGGCCAACUUAUCAAAAGGGGCAAAUGAUCAAUUUAAGAAUGAAAAAUACUUCACAAAGGAAGAGAAAAGAGCAAGGACACCUUGUACAAUGACCCCAGGGAAGGAAAUGGAGCUGCUUAAUAAAGCAGAAGAUUUUGAAUUA